rnacentral:rRNA from 1 species
UACGUAGGUCCCGAGCGUUGUCCGGAUUUAUUGGGCGUAAUGCGAGCGCAGGUGGUUUAUUAAGUCUGGUGUAAAAGGCAGUGGCUCAACCAUUGUAUGCAUUGGAAAUUGGUAGACUUGAGUGCAGGAGAGGAGAGUGGAAUUCCAUGUGUAGCGGUGAAAUGCGUAGAUAUAUGGAGGAACACCGGUGGCGAAAGCGGCUCUCUGGCCUGUAACUGACACUGAGGCUCGAAAGCGUGGGGAGCAAACAGG